UAUUCAACCAACGAAAGAGGAAAACAUUACGACUGAAUUGGAUUUACAGUAUUUAUUGUUUUUUGCUCCUAUAUACGCUCUGUAUGUUCAUGGUUUACUCAACUGCCAAAAUCCAAAUCUUUGCAAUACUCUGGAGUUCUCAACUUUCCCAAGUUGAAGCUCCCAACUAAAUCCCCACACGCAUGCGACGGAGAGAGUGAUGUUUGUAUAUAAGGUUUGGUCCCCAGUCAUAAUCAUCAACUUCUUCAGAUCCAACUUAACCAGGAGUUAACCACGCAACCUCCUUCUCUCGUCUCUCCCGUUUCUCUCGUCUCUCCCGUUUCUCUCGUAUAGUUGUUCAAUUUCACUGUAGAUUUUGGGGACCUGACCAAGUUGUUCAAGUUUCACUGUGUGGUCAGUUAGGUUGGUGUUAUGAAGAAUUGCUUGAUUGAUUCCGGACAGUGGUAGUGCUGGAAGUGAUUUUGUGUUAUUGGACCUCAGAAGAGCUUAUGCUGAGACACCCAUGUCGCGGAAUUUGCCUCAGGUCAUCGUCCCUCGGGUUUUGUCUGGGAGUAGAUGUUCAUUUUCUGUAGUUGUAUGAAGCUUGGUGGGAUUGGUUCUUUUUCUUCAUGUAUACUCGUUCUUAAGCAACAAAGAUGGGGUGCGUGGAGAUCUUAAGUUGCAAGUGAGUCGGCACCCACUAUUCCGUGAACUUGAACAAGUGGAAGAAGAGAAUAUCCGAAUUCCGCCACCAAAGGGUAAACGUUCCCCACGUGCAGCUAAGCGGAGACCUAAGAGGACAACCACACUGAUCGAUGAAUUUCUUGAUGAGAAUUCCCAACUUCGGCACAUUUUCUUCCCAGGUAUCAAAACUGCAUUAGAUCCAAUGAAGGCUUCAGGAAAUGAUAGCUUCCACUACUUCCCUGGUAGAAUUUGGUUGGAUACUGAAGGAAAUCCUAUUCAAGCUCAUGGAGGUGGCAUUCUAUAUGAUGAGAGAUCUGGGACUUACUAUUGGUAUGGAGAGUAUAAAGAUGGAACCACCUACCAUGCUCACAAAAAGGGAGCAGCAAGGGAUGUAUCUGCAAGAAGUAGAUGGAGUAUUUUGGGAAGUUAAUGUUGAGAACUUAGGGAAACGUGAUGGAUUGAAUUUAAGCUCUGAUACCGUCUGUGUCUCUCCUUUUCCUAAUUGGUUACCAUCCAAGAGGAAAUGGGUUUACUUUUCUUGAGUUCUGCAUAAACUUGUCUGUGAGAAUUUCUUAACAUUGCAACCUUUAUGUUUCUAUUCCAUGCAUAUCAGAAAAACAUCACUUUGGUAUUCCUAGAUUUGAUACCUAACAGUGUACUGAUUCUUAAUUUUUCCUUCUAAUUUUUAUCUAAAAAAAAAACAGUGCACUGAUUCUUGUA